rnacentral:sRNA from 1 species
UCUCUGAAAACCUUCACCACCCUUAUGUAGAUAUCAUCAGCCCCAUUUUACAAAGGAGGCAUCAGUCGCUCACCCAGUGACAGCUGGGAGAUGAAACCAGGUCUCCUUGGCUCAGAACCUGUUCACUCUCACUCUUAUACUAGUCACAGGCAGAUGCCCCUUUUCUGUGAAUCAGGGGCAGGCCGUGGGGAGGCCUGCUUAUGGGGUGCGUUGGGGCUCUCUGUAGGGAAUGCCGUCUCCCUCCCUCCCUUGUAUUUCCGCUGGCUUCUUCCUCUGGCAUCACAUUCCCAGGAGAUUUCAGGUCAGAGAGGAAAUGCCUCUGUGGAUGUACUGGCCAUGCAUUGCUCUGGCCCCGGCACUGCAUGAGGAAGUGGCUGCCGGGUGUCCUCCAGACCCCUCCCAGGAAGGGGCCUCAUUCGGUUUCUUGGGAACUGCCUGUCUUUUGUUGUGAAUGGACCACAUUGUGACCGGCCUGUGGGUCUUGUCAGGGGUUUGGGGCCUUGUGAGGGGUUUGGGGCCCUCUGAGCUGAAAUGCUUCCUGUGGGUAGAGAGUUGCAGGAGACCUCGAGGCCCAGCUGCCCUCUCCCCCAGUCCAUCCCAGCUGAGAGGCGAGGAUGCAAUGCAGUGUGUUCAGCCCUCCAGGCUCAAGGUGUGAGGUUGUGCGGACCGUAAGGCAGUCCCCGUGCCUCUAGCCUUCGGUGAUGCUACCUGUCCAGCACUUCUGGGAGUGGAAGGAGGACCAUGGAUGGCUGCCUGGUAGUGUCGGUUCCCUGGCCUCCCCAUCCCACCUCGUGUCCAUGGCUCCUUCUCCUACAUCAGUGAGCUCGGAGACCAUUCUGACUGUGAGGAGGAAGGGGCAGUAGUAUGUCCUCAGCCACUCCCCUCUCUGGUUUCCUAGCAGGUCUCUCCCCCAGAUGUAGGGCAGAGUUCACUGUCCUGUAUGAGUUCAUGUUUGCAAAGGGCCCUGAGAGCUGGGGGAAGUAGAGGAGAGCUGGGGGUACUGGGGUUUGAGGCCUGUGAGCUCAGGGUCCUUCUCAGCCCAACCUCCUGCAGCCUCCUAACCUCAGACAGGCCUCCAGGACCAUCUCUGUAAAGUGAUGUCCUUGGGUCAACACAGGCCUGGGAAAGGUCCUCUGCAGACUGUUGACAGCAGCUGAUCCAAGGGUGACACAAGGGCUGGGAGCCCUGGGUAGCCCUGAAAGGUCUUGGUGAGGUCACUGUCUCUGUGUCUCUACAUAGCUUUCGUUUCUGCUUUGCCAUGCGGGGCCUGUGUCAGCAGAGACUGCUGAUAAACCGGCAUCUGCAGCGGCUCCAGGCGGGCAGAGGUGCUGAGCCCACUGCUGAUGAGAAUCCCAGCGCGGCGGGAAACGUGCACACAUGAGCUGCUAGAGGCAAAGGCUCUCACUGCCCUGGUGGGUAGCUGGCCCCUCCACAGAAGGAAACCGCGGUGCCCUCAGCCUCCUACCUCUCUUUGCCCCAUAGUCCUGAAUAGAGUGAAAUAGGAUCCAUGGAGGCAGCUCUUCCCCUGAGUCCUGUGAGCGGUGGAGGGGGUCACUGCUAUAGAGGGCAGACACAGCCUGGGUCUGUGAAGCCUCCGCAGAGCAUGUGCACUAUGCUGACCAGGAAGAGCCUGGCCCCAUCCAAGCUGCAGAGACCCUUGUGAUGACGCAUGGCUGAGUGCCAGCUGGAGUGGGAAGGGGGAAGUCCCUUCUGGACCCCUAAGAACAGAUGCUUGGGGACAGGGCAGCCCAGAUGUAGAUCCUCUGAGCGUGGCGGCCUUUUAUGGCUUGGUUCUGUCUCCUGGAGAGGCCAGGGAAUGCACCGAGCUCAGUUUGGGGUAUCUCUCAAGGGGUGAUGAGUGGAUUUGUGAACCAUCUCUCUCCCCCUCCUUUCAGUGGGUGUAUAACAUUCUCGACAAGAAGGCUGAAGCGGACCGGAUUGUUUUCGAGAACCCAGAUCCCUCUGAUGGUUUUGUCCUCAUCCCUGACCUCAAGUGGAACCAACAGCAGCUCGAUGACUUGUACUUGAUCGCCAUCUGCCAUCGCCGGGGCAUCAGAUCCCUACGCGACCUUACUCCGGAGCACCUGCCGCUGCUCAGGAACAUGCUCCACCAGGGGCAGGAGGCCAUCCUGCAGCGCUACCGGAUGAAGGGAGACCAUCUGCGAGUAUACCUGCACUACCUGCCCUCCUACUACCACCUGCAUGUGCACUUCACCGCCCUGGGCUUCGAGGCCCCCGGCUCAGGCGUGGAGCGGGCCCACCUGCUGGCUGAGGUGAUCGAGAACCUGGAGUGUGACCCUAGGCACUACCAGCAGCGCACACUCACCUUCGCCCUCAGGGCUGACGACCCCCUGCUCAAGCUCUUGCAGGAGGCUCAGCAAAGCUGAAUUAACUCAGGCAGAAGAGCACAGAUGUGUGGGAUUGGGGGAGGAGUGGGGACAAGAUUUUUUAUCUCCAAGUGAAUUUUCUAAAAAUGUAUUUUGUACUGGC